AACGAACGCUGGCGGCAUGCCUAACACAUGCAAGUCGAACGAGACCUUCGGGUCUAGUGGCGCACGGGUGCGUAACGCGUGGGAACCUGCCCUUAGGUUCGGAAUAACUCCCCGAAAGGGGUGCUAAUACCGGAUAAUGUCUUCGGACCAAAGAUUUAUCGCCUUUGGAUGGGCCCGCGUUGGAUUAGCUAGUUGGUAGGGUAAAAGCCUACCAAGGCGACGAUCCAUAGCUGGUCUGAGAGGAUGAUCAGCCACACUGGGACUGAGACACGGCCCAGACUCCUACGGGAGGCAGCGGUGGGGAAUAUUAGACAAUGGGCGAAAGCCUGAUCCAGCAAUGCCGCGUGAGUGAUGAAGGCCUUAGGGUUGUAAAGCUCUUUUACCCGGGAUGAUAAUGACAGUACCGGGAGAAUAAGCGCCGGCUAACUCCGUG
rnacentral:rRNA from 1 species